UACGUAGGGGGCAAGCGUUGUCCGGAUUCAUUGGGCGUAAAGAGCGUGUAGGCGGCCAGGUAGGUCGGUUGUGAAAACUGGAGGCUCAACCUUCAGACGUCGACAGAAACCCCCUGGCUAGAGUCCGGGAGAGGAGAGUGGAAUUCCUGGUGUAGCGGUGGAAUGCGCAGAUAUCAGGAAGAACACCCGUGGCGAAAGCGGCUCUCUGGAACGGUACUGACGCUGAGACGCGAAAGCGUGGGGAGCGAACAGG
rnacentral:rRNA from 1 species